rnacentral:rRNA from 1 species
AUUACUCCUACGGGAGGCAGCAGUGGGGAAUAUUGGACAAUGGGCGCAAGCCUGAUCCAGCCAUGCCGCGUGAGUGAUGAAGGCCUUAGGGUUGUAAAGCUCUUUUAGCAGGGAAGAUAAUGACUGUACCUGCAGAAUAAGCUCCGGCUAACUUCGUGCCAGCAGCCGCGGUAAUAAU